rnacentral:rRNA from 1 species
AUGCUUAACACAUGCAAGUCGAACGCCUUUCUUCGGAAAGGAGUGGCGAACGGGUGAGUAACACGUAGGUAACGUGCCUUGAGGUGGGGAAUAACCAAGGGAAACCUUGACUAAUACCGCAUAUGUCCUUCGGGAUGAAAGUCUUCGGACGCCUUGAGAUCGGCCUGCGGCCCAUUAUUUAAUCCUGGAUGGUGAGGUAACGGCUCACCAUGGGUACGAUGGGUAGCUGGUCUGAGAGGAUGAUCAGCCACACUGGGACUGAGACACGGCCCAGACUCCUACGGGAGGCAGCAGUGGGGAAUAUUGGACAAUGGGCGAAAGCCUGAUCCAGCGACGCCGCGUGGGUGAUGAAGGCCUUCGGGUUGUAAAGCCCUGUCGUAGGGGAAGAAGCUUCGGUUGACGGUACCCUACAAGAAAGCACCGGCUAACUCCGUGCCAGCAGCCGCGGUAAUACGGAGGGUGCAAGCGUUGCUCGGAAUUACUGGGCGUAAAGCGAACGCAGGCGGCUUAUUAAGUCGGGUGUGAAAGCCCUGGGCUCAACCCAGGAAUUGCAUUCGAAACUGGUAGGCUUGAGUCCGAGAGAGGGAGGUGGAAUUCCAGGUGUAGAGGUGAAAUUCGUUGAUAUCUGAAGGAACACCAGUGG